rnacentral:sRNA from 1 species
AGACCCACCACUCUGAAUGUAGUGCACACUUAAGAAUUUAUAUGGAUCAGCGUUGAGGCUGAGACAUGUUCUUUUAUAACUUGUGACGUAGCGAGCGUUUGAGAUAUCUAUCUAAACGUGUCGUUGAGGCUAAGGCGGGGACUUCGAGUCCCUAAAUAAUUGAGUCGUAUGUUCGCGUUGGUGGCUUUGUACCCCACACAACACGUACAUGUAACUCCGAGGCAACUUGGGGUUAUAUGGUCAAGCGAAUAAGCGCACACGGUGGAUGCCUAGGCGGUCAGAGGCGAUGAAGGACGUGGUAGCCUGCGAAAAGUGUCGGGGAGCUGGCAACAAGCUUUGAUCCGGCAAUAUCCGAAUGGGGAAACCCACUGCUUCGGCAGUAUCCUGCAGUGAAUUCAUAGCUGCUGGAAGCGAACCCGGUGAACUGAAAUAUCUAAGUAACCGGAGGAAAAGAAAUCAACCGAGAUUCCCUAAGUAGUGACGAGCGAACGGGGAGCAGCCCUUAAGCUGGAAUGGCUUUAGAAAAACAAUCUGGAAAGAUUGGCCAUAGAAGGUGAUAGCCCUGUAUUUAAAAGGGCCACUCCAGUGAAGACGAGUAGGGCGGGGCACGUGAAACCCUGUCUGAAUAUGGGGGGACCAUCCUCCAAGGCUAAAUACUCCUGACCGACCGAUAGUGAACCAGUACC